GUUACGAAAUGUUGUAAAAUACAGAAAAUAUAGCCUUGCUUUCGGCUCAAAAAUGGUAACAAUUUCCGCACGUAAUACAAACAUACUGAAAAUAUGCAAACUUCGCAAGGCUAUAUUUUCUGUAUUUUACAACAUUUCGUAGC
rnacentral:miRNA from 1 species